rfam:Salmo salar isolate Sally breed double haploid chromosome ssa22, whole genome shotgun sequence.
UGUAUUCACUACUGUAAGUCGCUCUGGAAAAGAGCGUCUGCUAAAUGUAAAUGU